UACGUAGGGGGCAAGCGUUGUCCGGAUUUACUGGGCGUAAAGAGCGCGUAGGCGGGCACUUAAGUCCGGUCUGAAAGCCCCCGGCUCAACCGGGGAAGGUGGCUGGAAACUGGGUGCCUCGAGGGCGGCAGAGGCGUGUGGAAUUCCUGGUGUAGCGGUGAAAUGCGUAGAGAUCAGGAGGAACACCAGUGGCGAAAGCGGCUACCUGGCCCACUCUUGACGCUGAGGCGCGAAAGCUAGGGGAGCAAACGGG
rnacentral:rRNA from 1 species